CUAUAUGUGAAGAAUAAUAAAAUUCUCUUUACUGAAACUUCAGAUUAACAAUAGGAAAUUUCAAAUUAUUUUGACAGGAAAGAGGCUAACAAUAUUUGCCAAAUGGACUUGAUGACUGUUGAUGGAGCUGAAAGUUGUGAGCAGAAACAAAGUAACAAAGGAGGAACAGGUUGCUGAAGAGACUGACUCAGGAGCAGCCAUGAGAGAUGAUAUUCAUCAAAUAUACCGAAGGAAGGUGAUUCAAAUGUAAAUGACAACGGCAUCAAACUACCUCACUGGGUUCCUGUGAGGAUAAGAUGAUCAAAUGAUGGCAACUUAGAGGAGAAAGGAUGUGGCAGUGAAAGGACCUGUCAAGGCCAGAGGGGAAAAACCUCUCCUCUCGGAAGUCCCUAACGGCGUAUGUCUUUGGGUAGCUGGGUAGACAGUAGCAGACACUCACUCAGCUGAUCAUCAUGUCCUCACUGAGUCCUUACUGCGUGUCAGACACUAAGAAGCGCUGAAGUUAUGUUGGUGAGCAAAAGUGGGCUGAGUACUACCUUUGCCUGCUGUUUUGAAGAGUACCUACCCUCAACAACUUCAAAAUCUGGCAGGAAAAGACAACUGAGUGAAAGAAUUACAGCUGUGGGAAACUGGUAAAAGCUGUUGCAAAGGAGAAUUUCAAGAGAGCAAGAGAAUGGACAGUUGGUGAUUGAACCUGACUAUGAAGGUCGGGGUAGGAAGAUUUCUCUGGGGCAAUGGCACGUGAGCUAAAAUCUGCAAGGUGGGAGGAAUUAACGAGACAGGAGGAGUAAAGAAACAGGAUUCCCACAGAAAGGAGUACAAGUGCAAAGUCCCCAUGGUGGAGAAGGCGACAAGACUGGGACAAAGCUAGAGCUCAGACUCCAAGGCAGGCAUGCACAAGUGUGUGACACAAACAGACUUCAGUAGAGAUUUCUGCCUUGAUCCUACACAGAUCCUCAUCUGAGAGGAAAUCCUAUUGCUCCUGGAGGCUGGGCCACACCACGGUGCUGGGCCCAUUGGAAGUCCCCUCUGCGCAGUAUGAGUUAUUUGAGGGUAAAGAGAAGACCUUAUUUGCUUUGACCUCCUCCAAACUUAGCAACAUAACUGGCUCAAUCUCCUUUUUCAUUGAGAUGAAAUUCACAUAAGAUAAGAUAAUAUUAAUCAUUUUAAAGUGUAAAAUUCAGUGUGGUUUUUUUUUUUUGUAUAUUCACAAAAUUGUGCAACCACCACCACCUCUGCCUAAUUCCAUAACACUUUUGACUACAAAAAGAAACCCCAUACCCAUUAGCAGUCGCUCCUCAUUACCCCCUGCCCUUAUCCUCUGACAACCACUAAUACACAUUCUGUGUGUAUGGAUUUGCCUAUUUUGGACAUUUUAUAUAAAUGUAAUCAUACACUAUGUGGUAUUUUGUAUCUGGCUUCUUUCUCCUAGCA
rnacentral:lncRNA from 10 species